rnacentral:rRNA from 1 species
UAUGAAAGGAACGCGGCACACAGCUCAGUAACAUGUGGCUAACCUGCCCUUAGGACAGAGACAACCCCGGGAAACUGGGGCUAAUCCCUGAUAGGCGUGGGAUUUCUGGAAUGAACCUACACCUAAAGGAUUUCUGAAUCAUGCUUUGGACGUCGCCUAAGGAUGGGGCCGCAUCCGAUCAGGUUGUUGGCGAGGUAAUGGCUCACCAAGCCUUUAACCGGUACGGGCCGCGGGAGCGGUAGCCCGGAGAUGGACACUGAGAUAAGAGUCCAGGCCCUACGGGGCGCAGCAGUCGCGAAAACUCCACAAUGGGCGAAAGCUCGAUGGGGCUAUCCCGAGUGCCAACCGCUGAGGAUGGCUUUUCUCCAGUGUAAGGAGCUGGAGGAAUAAGGAGAGGGCAAGUCUGGUGUCAGCCGCCGCGGUAAUACCAGCUCUCCGAGUGGUAAGGAUGUUUAUUGGGCUUAAAGCGUCCGUAGCCGGCUCGGCAAGUCCUCCGUUAAAUCCAGCGAUUCAAUCGUUGGGCUGCGGGGGAUACUGUUGGGCUAGGGGACGGGAGAGGCCGACGGUAUUCUCGGAGUAGGGGUGAAAUCCUAUAAUUCCGGGAGGACCACCAGUGGCGAAGGCUGCCGGCUAGAACGAGCUCGACGGUGAGGGACGAAAGCUGGGGGAGCGAACCGGAUUAGAUACCCGGGUAGUCCCAGCUGUAAACGAUGCGGGCUAGGUGUUAGGGUGGCUACGAGCCACUCUAGUGCCGCAGCGAAGGCAUUAAGCCCGCCGCCUGGGGAGUACGGCCGCAAGGCUGAAACUUAAAGGAAUUGGCGGGGGAGCACCACAAGGCGUGAAGCGUGCGGUUUAAUUGGA